rnacentral:lncRNA from 1 species
CUCUGUUGGUAUCUAUCAGCAGGGAAUCAUCACCCCUACACAGUCAAGGACUAAGGUCCUUGCACAAGUGCAUGAUAAUCCUGAGUGUGUAUCUUCACAUCACCUCUCUAAAAUAAGAAGACGGGAAGCUCAAGCACAAAGACCAAGUGAUUUGUUCAAAACCACCAAAAUGCCUUUUGCAGAGUCGAGUGUGGCUAUCUCACAGCUCAGGUCUACAGAUCCCAGGCCGCUGGUUCGUAUGUGUCCACUGCGUUGGAUCAAUUGCCCUGGACAAAGGCAGUAGCUGUAACCAAGCUGAAGGCCAAUGUGCUCCAUAGGAGGCUUUACACUCCUCUAGUCAUCCAGACUGGGAACCUCUACAUCACCUCCAAGUCCAUGCAUCCAUGUUUCCUCUCUAUGCUGUCAGGUAAUACCAGGAAGCCCAGCACAUGCAAGUUUAUUCGAUUACCAGAUCAGCCAACUGGUAUUCAAUACCAUAAAGGAACUUUCCAGUGCCCAAGAAGUGAUUUGUACUGAAAAGGAUCAAGGUGAAGCACACCACAGCUGCUCUUCUGUUAAAGAAAUGACUGGCCGAUCAAAAUUGCCCGAAGUCCACUGUGGCUUGUUUGGCUGAGCAUGCUGCCAAAACAGCUAUUGAAACGACAGGGAGUUAAAACUAACCGAUGACCAUGGCUUCACACCGUGAUUGUCUGGCUGCGCUGGGACUCUGUGCUGAUGUUUCUGCAGCUUG